GAAAUGCGAUAAGUAAUGUGAAUUGCAAAAUUCCGUGAAUCAUUAAAUCUUUGAACGCACCUUGCGCUCUUUGGCAAUCCAGAGAGCAUGUCUGUUUGAGAAUCAGUUUAAAUCUCAUUCCCUUUUCUUUGAGUAAUCAAGAAAGGUUGUAAUGGUUCUGGGUUUUUUAUUUUACAAGUAAAAUUCCUUAAAUAAAAGUUGUCUGGUAUAAAGUAAUAAAUUGUUUAACCGGAAAGCAUGACCAAUGGACUCUUGUUCAUGAUUGCUGAUAAAGGUUUUUCAGUUAACUUUACUCGAUUCAAUAAUAUUAAACACGAAGGCUUUAAAACUCCUUUAAGACUUGAUCUCAAAUCAGACAAGACUACCCGCUGAACUUAA
rnacentral:misc_RNA from 1 species